rnacentral:misc_RNA from 1 species
AAGUCGUAACAAGGUUUCCGUAGGUGAACCUGCGGAAGGAUCAUUACCAAAUUCAUAACAAGAAGGUUUUUGCAAAAAGACCUUUAUUGUUUUAAACCCCAUUGUGAACAAGUUGAUGUUUUUAUUUGCAAAGUCUUUUUUAAUUAAAGGACUUUGCAUAUUUAUUAAAAAAACAAAGUUUUUUGGUUUUUCGUGGAUUUGAAAGUUGAAAAAUAAUAAAAAACAACUUUUAACGGUGGAUCUCUUGGCUCGU